AUUGAACGCUGGCGGCAUGCCUUACACAUGCAAGUCGAACGGUAACAGGUUAAGCUGACGAGUGGCGAACGGGUGAGUAAUGUAUCGGAACGUGCCCAGUCGUGGGGGAUAACUGCUCGAAAGAGCAGCUAAUACCGCAUACGACCUGAGGGUGAAAGCGGGGGAUCGCAAGACCUCGCGCGAUUGGAGCGGCCGAUAUCAGAUUAGGUAGUUGGUGAGGUAAAGGCUCACCAAGCCGACGAUCUGUAGCUGGUCUGAGAGGACGACCAGCCACACUGGGACUGAGACACGGCCCAGACUCCUACGGGAGGCAGCAGUGGGGAAUUUUGGACAAUGGGCGCAAGCCUGAUCCAGCCAUGCCGCGUGCGGGAAGAAGGCCUUCGGGUUGUAAACCGCUUUUGUCAGGGAGGAAAAGGUUCUGGCUAAUACCUGGGACUCAUGACGGUACCUGAAGAAUAAGCACCGCCUAACUACGUGCCAGCCGCCGCGGUAAUAC
rnacentral:rRNA from 1 species